AGAUCGGUUUCUUCGGAUAAUUUUUCGGACUUUUUGGAUUUUUGAGUUUUUUAGGAUUACCCAUUGGAUUAGGUUAAUAAUAUUUUGGAUUCAAAAAUAUUUUAUAACACUUUACAAAACCUUUUAUGAUUUUUUAUACUUUGGACCAGAUACAUUUUGAGUUUUUCGGUUUGGGUAAGGUUCAAAUUUCGGAUUACAUAUUUUAUGCCCAACCCUACAUAAACUAUUGAAUAGCUUACACAUAAAAACAUGAUUUUUUUACAUCUAGAGACACAUUUUCAGUUUCCAAUUACAUUCUAAGACACUUAGCACUUGUGACACACAUUAUUGUGUAUGAAAGACAUUAGUACCCUUUAACCAAAGACAAAACCAACUCUCUCAUUAACUUGACAUAUCAUAAACAUCACGUGACUUGAAUUUUUUUUUCUCUUCCCCCCGACGACUCCGAUUGAGAAACCCUAACAUUUCCAUUGUUUCCAAUCGACGACCAUUACAAUCACUCUGGUUUUGCCUCUGUUACUCUCUCUCUCUCUCUCUAAUGACAGAACAGCCAUCUUGCUGCUCUCUAGUCCUAAUUGAUACGAUUUUCUCGCAUCUCUCGUUCCUAAAUCCAAGACUCUCCGCCGAUUUGAAGAAACUCUAAGCCGGACAACUACUCUCCUCCUCCUUCUUGUUGAGGUCACUGUUGAAUCACCACUCUCCAUGAUUUGAAGAUAAAGAUGAGUUUUUGAAGACAAAAAAUUGAUAGCACGAAUACACAAUCGUCUUCUCCUCAAAGUAAUCAAACAUGGUGGAGGCAGCAGGAGAAGGAGAGGUUCGCAUGUUUCUUGCCGCAGCGACUCCGAGUUCGUGUAAAAGGCACGGUGGCUACUUUAAUGUCUUCAUCUAGGUAAAUAAGGCUUCAAAGACACAUCCCUUGUACACAACUCGUCCAUCUCCAACUCCCCAGUCACCUCCCUUGUCCACAUGUACACACAUCUCAUGUACACAACUUGUCCAUCCCCAACUCCUCAGUCCACGCCUCCCUUGUCCGCCCAACAGGACAACCCCGUUCCACACUCCACAAAUCCCUGCUGAGCUAACUCAAAGCUCCCCUACACAGCUCCCCGUACACAACUACCUCCCCUACACAAGUCCGUCGUACACACUUCCCCUGAUCACACUUUAUCCAUCCACAAAUCCCAUGUCCACAACACUCCUGUCCACAAGUCUCCCCUAGACAACACCACCGUCCACAACACUACAGUCCACAACAAUUCUGUCCACAUCACUGGCAAACACAAAACACCAAUCAUCAACCCACCAAGCUUUUCCUUAUCCUCCACUCUUCCCGUUGUUGGAGCUAUGACAUGGCUCUAUUGGAAGCUCCUCUAAGCAAUACAACUAAGACACCCUCUUGGUUGUUUUUUAUGUUACAUAUUUUUGCGUUUCCCUUCAUCGGCUUUAGUGUAUGUUUUGCAUUUGUCAUGUUCAUGAACGCCUUUUACAAUGUAAUGGUCAUAUAGAAACUCAUCUUUAGCUUCUUUAAUCUACAUAAUUUUCCA